UUUGCCUGAGGAAGACCUUCUCAGAGUUUUCAAUAUGGCAAAUAAAUUAUACCUUCUAGGAGGCUUCAAAACUAUUCAGUAUGCAGGACCAGUAUCCCCUCCCUUUUUAACAGCAAUUAGGGAUCUUUGAGGACCCAUCAGCAGACCCAUCAGCCACAGCUAGUGUGCAUCAGCCAUCUGACCAGCCAAGCACACCAGUUCGUCAUUGUUGCCCAAAAUGACAAGAUCACCAUUCCACUGCACAGCCUAACCUGUGCCUUGGAUAAGUUGUUCAAGUUUUACUGGGUAUGCAAUGUUGCUUAUCCUACUACAGUAUCUAUGACUUGCCAGUGUCAAAGACUGCAAGACGAUCCAAAGUGUUAGAGCUCAUUGGCAAGCUUCAGGCUUUGGCCUAAAUCAACUCAGCAUGUAUCAUUACCCUAUAUGUAAACAGCCAGUUACUGUUGAGAUCAGGAAACUGCUACAUGUAGUGCAUUCUCUAUCUGACAGUCAGGAUUAUACCGUUAUCUGCAGUCAAAAUAGCUGCCAGCAGACUAACCAUAAUCUGAAUUCCUACUCAAGGCAUCAUUCCAGAGAACAUAGAUCUGGGGACACUUAUACAAGCAAUUUGUCUAAUCAGACUUUGGAUGACAAUACAACCACCAUCUGUGAAGAAACUGAUGUAAUACAGGACACUGCAACAUAAGAUGAGGAUAUUGAUGUAGAGACCGACUUAUCUUCACCUACUUUUGUCACAAAAAUGUACUCUGCUUCAAAUACAACUUUAAGUGAUGUACAAAGGAGUGUAACAUGCACUAAAGAACUAUUGGACAGGACAGCAGAUAGCCUUCAAGCAUCCAUCACUUCAUUGCUGAGAACUUUGUCAGUACCACAAGACAAUAAGGAUGUUGUCUCAUUAAAGACUUUGAAAGUA